AGACAGAUUCUGUGCAAUCGGCGCCACCCAAAUCCGUCAGGGUCGGAAGACAGCAGCGGUAAGUGGUCAGUCGAUGUGACGCAGGUGAUUUGUCUCCG
rnacentral:SRP_RNA from 1 species